rnacentral:rRNA from 1 species
CUACGGGGGGCACCAGUGGGGAAUAUUGGACAAUGGGGGAAACCCUGAUCCAGCAAUGCCGCGUGUGUGAAGAAGGCCUGCGGGUUGUAAAGCACUUUCGGUUGGGAGGACUGCUUCUAGCACUAAUAUUGUUGGAAGUUGACGUUACCUUCAGAAGAAGCACCGGCUAACUCCGUGCCAGCAGCCGCGGUAAUACGGAGGGUGCAGGCGUUAAUCGGAAUUACUGGGCGUAAAGCGCGCGUAGGCGGCUAGAUCAGUCGGGUGUGAAAGCCCCGGGCUUAACCUGGGAACUGCAUCCGAUACUGUCUAGCUUGAGUACAGGAGAGGAGAGUGGAAUUACACAUGUAGCGGUGAAAUGCGUAGAUAUGUGGAGGAACACCAAUGGCGAAGGCAGCUCUCUGGCCUGAUACUGACGCUGAGGUGCGAAAGCGUGGGGAGCAAACAGGAUUAGAUACCCUAGUAGUC